CCGUGCUAGCCGGGGAGAUAGCGGUGCCCUGUACCUGCAAUCCGCUACAGCAGGGGUGAUGUUCUGCUUCGGAUGCAUUGAUUGUGGAGCUGCCCGGUAUAAGUGGUGUUGACGUUUUGGUCUCGCGCAAUGGGAACUCAUGAACCGUGUCAGGAGGGGAACCUAGCAGCACUAAGUGAGCCCUCCCGUGUGCCGUGAGGUUGCCGGAGCCGAGCUAACUGUACCGGUAACGUCCGCAGAGAUGUGUACAACGCAGAAUGCACGG
rfam:Clostridium sp. CAG:277 genomic scaffold, scf125